UGCCUUCGCGGAACUCUGAGAACAGCCGUUGCUGCAUGGCUGUCGUCAGCUCGUGUUGUGAAAUGUUGGGUUAAGUNCCNGCAAAGAANGGCAAACCCUUUUCCUUUGUUGCCAGCGGUCCGGCCGGGAACUCAAAGGAGACUGCCAGUGAUAAACUGGAGGAAGGUGGGGAUGACGUCNAGUCAUCAUGGCCCUUACGAGUAGGGCUACACACGUGCUACAAUGGCGCAUACAAGAGAGAAGCGAACUCGCGAGAGCAAGCGGACCUCAUAAAGUGCGUCGUAGUCCGGAUUGGAGUCUGCAACUCGACUCCAUGAAGUCGGAAUCGCUAGUAAUCGUAGAUCAGAAUGCUACGGUGAAUACGUUCCCCGGG
rnacentral:rRNA from 1 species